rnacentral:lncRNA from 1 species
AAUGUACAAACACCAUUAUCUUCUGAGGUGGAUAUUGUAGUCCCAACGUAGGAGAGCAAUAAGGAUCCAGUAAGUUUUAUGUUCUUUGAUGUAAUAUUAUUUAUUUAUUUUUUAAUUUUUAAUGGUCACUAAAUAAUGGUCAUUAUUUAGGAACCUGUGAUCACAUACCAAUUACAAGGAUGUGAUAUUUAUCCAUCGUUUCCUUUUGAUUCUUACAUUGUAAGUUAUAAUCCAAUUUCUAUAUUUAUGCUUAAUUAAUUUUAUAUUUUCUGGAAUGUAAUAUGGUUCUUAUUUUGUACAAACUAGCAAUCCCAUCUAUGUCCUUAUUCUUCAUCUUAGAUAUCGUAUAAAGGUUCUCAAUAAGGGAGUUUUCAGCAAUUGCUACUUCAACAAAAUGAUAAUGACAGAGAAGUUUGGAGCAAACUUAACAGAUUGAUCAUUGACUUAUUCUUUUGUUGUAUAAUUUUAGUUGUGUUUUGUGUAUUAGUUGGUUGGAUGGUAUUACUCUAAUGCUCAAUGAUUGAACAUGGAAAUAUUUUGAAGGUUUUUUAUCCAUAUAUUCAAAGGUUGAGUGUGUCAAUAACCAUUACAACAAUAAGAGUAGUUCAUAUAGAAAUGGCAAAUUAAAAAAAAAAGAUACAAUUAUUCACUUAAACAAAUGUUUCUAUGUCAAUCUUCCUAGCUUCAAGCCUAACUGAACCAGGCAAUUGGUUGUUCAUUUUCCUCUCACAAUUGUAAGCAUUGUAUGCUGAUUCGGCAUCCAACAAUGAUCUGUAAGAUUGGAAUGAAUCAAAUACAUAUUAGCAGCAUAAAGAGAAAAAGAAAAGGAUGGAUUCUAUUUUUCAAGGAUAAAAAUCAAAUACAAGUCACGUUUGGUUUGAUUUUAGAGGAGGGUUAAUGAAGCAAUAUAUGCUUUAUAGAAAAUAAAGAACCUUAGAAUGAAGCUGCAAUUACUGGAUUAACAGAAGAAAAUUAGGGAAUUCUAUGUGGUAAAGAACUUAACAAUGCAGCUAAGACCAAAAACAAUUGCCUCAACUAAAGAAUUCACAGAAACGUGUGAUAUAUCAAACUACCCAGAAUAUGUUUGAAGAACAACUUGAAAAUCUUAAUACACACCAUAUAUGCAAACUUUAAAUACCAAAAAAAAAAAUGAGUGCCAGCAGACGUAAACAUUAUAUAAGCAAAAACAUAAUUAUAACCAAACCAUAAGCUUUCAACAUUUCACAAAAUAUCACACUUCAAAUAACUUAUUUCUAGUAAUUUUCAAAUAUAAAAAAAAACAAAUACUUUUCUAAUCGAAGUAUUGUUGUGAAAAUUUUAAUAUACUCGCAAGCGCACGAAUCUAGAAAUAGAAUAGUGGUAACGAGGUCAAUCCCACAGGGAUUGUUAUAAAUUAAAAAGUCUAAUUUAAAUCUAAAAUUAAUAUUAAUUAUAACCUAGUUGAGCAAAUUGAGUUUUUAAGAAAAUUAAACCAAUUAAACUAAGGAAGCAAUUAAAAUAAAGGAGAAUUCAAUAAGAUAAGAAUUACCAAGGUUUCAGAAUCCACCACUAUUCAACUAGUAAUUAUCUAAUUAUUAAUUAAUCCCCAAUUUUAGAGUGACAACUCGAAAUCAAUCUAUGUCAUCUCAUGGAUAUAACAAUUAAGCCCAAGUAAUUAAAUCUAAUGUAGGUUCUUUUUCUGCUUAAUAAUAUGACAUCUAAGAAUCUCAUGUAAACAUAUUGAAUAACAAAGAGUCAAAGUUUCCUAAGCACUCCAUGUAAACAAUUUAAUGAAAGACAUAAAAUCAAAGAUAAUCAUGUAUAAACUUUAUAGAUCCAAGCAUAGAAUUAAUCGAAUAUUAAUCCUAACAAUCAAUAAUGCAUGACAGAAUUGAUGAAAAGAUUUUAUUAACAUCCAAUUAAUCAUGUGAAAUAAAAACCAUAAUCAUCAAAGAACAUAUAUAGGGAAUUAAUUAAAUAAAAAGAUAAUUAUUUCAUUGAAUAGGGUUUCAUCCUUAACCUCAGUAUAAGAAAAUUUGUUAGACAUACUUGAAUUGGGAGCAACAAAAUAAAUAAAUUCAGCCAUGGGGAAGCCGAAUUGCUGCAGAUUUUCUUCUCUGUCUUGAAUCCUUGCGUCUCCAGUUCUCUCUCCUCCCGUGGCCCUCUUGCCUUUAUAUAAUGUUACUGACUUGUUUAAUCCUUAUUGGAUUCUAAUUGCAUUAAUUCUUCUCCACCGACUUAUAAAGCCCACUCACCAAGGCCUUUUAAAAUUAUUUCCUUACUAAACUUUGAAAGCAAAGCACGCGUUUGACCACAAAAGCAAAAGGCCAAUUAAUGAUUUCUUCUUUUAAUGCCCAGCACAUGCAUUCCAAAUUGCCAAAUCUUUGCUUUCCAAAUGCAUGCCCACCGUUCAUCCUUUGAAGAGAUUGACUUCCAAUUUUGGUCUUCUUGACUUCCAUUAAUUCUUGGUUGCAUUUUUGUCUUCCAAUUUAAUCUUUAUUCCUUCUCAAUUUGAAGUGUUUUCAUGCCCUUUUUAUCAACAAUCUCCAAUUAAUUCCCUAUUCAAUAAAACAAUUCAAUUAAUUAAAAAUAACAAAUAAAUAUAACUAGCAAUUAUAUUAUUAAGGGUAAAAUGUGUAUAUAAAUUAUGCUCAUCAAAUACCCCCAAACUUAGAUUUUGCUAGUCCUCGAGCAAAACUAAAAUUUAAAACAAAAACAAAAGUAACGAAACAAAAAGUAAAUCCUAACUAAACCACUUUCGCAGGUAAUCGCGAUUGCAUUUAGCGUAUGCAACAAGCCUUUAAACCCCUAGGCGGCCCUAGUGGACUAGUUAUAGUCUCGUGAGGGCUUCAGUGAUGAUACCCACAAACAUCAUUAAAAAAAAUUAAAUUAAAAGAAAAAAAACUUUAAAUAAAACAUGAAAAAUAGCCUCAAAGAUUGCAAAAAUUAUAUAGCUCAAAGAAAAUUUCAAAUAUUGGCAAAGUUCUAACUUUAAUUCAAUAAUCAAUCCCAUCUCUCUUUCGAUUCUUGUAGUGUGUGUGUGAAAUCAAUUCAAUCAAAUUCAUUCCUAAAAUCUUCAAUAUCCACAACAUUCGCCUCAAACAAAGAACAGAGUAGGUCAAACUAAUCUUAUCAUCUUGAUCUCCAAAUUUUUUUCUUCUCACAGGCUUUUAUGUGCAUUUUCUUUUGAUUUUUUUUUUAGCACAUGCACUUGAUUUUUUUUUCUUUUUCUCUUUUUUUUUCCUUUUUUUUUAACCAUAGUCAGGAGCUUUCACUCUACCCCUUAAGGUAGCCUUCUUCUCAUGGUAGAUUAUCCUCUACAUACUUGUGGUACAUAGGCCCAAAUUACUCAAGGAUAGCUUCACUCUUAAGGGUUAUAGGUAGCUAUUUCUGACUUUGGUGCCCGUGUAUACUAUUUUGUAUUGUGGAGAUAAGAAUCAAGACAAACAGUCAUUUACUCUAUCUAAAAUUCUCAACUCAGGCUGCGUCAAUAUCAAAUUUCAAGUCAAAAUUACGAAAGAAUUGAUAUUAGUGCUCAUGGUUUAAAGAAUCUCAAUCAAGAGGAACUAACACAAGAAUCAAGUAUAAACUAAGACAAUAUUCAACCCUUUCUAAAAAUCAUAUUCAUUGUCAAUCAAGUUCUUAUCAUUGGCUUUUCACGUAAAAACUAAAAAACACAAUUUUUUUUUGAAUUUUUGAAUUUUUUUUUUAACAAACAAAGCACACACUAUUCCCACCCCCAAACUUAUUCGGAAUAUUGUCCUCAAUGUUUCACAAACAAAAGAUAUGCAUGCAAACAAAUGAAAGAGAAAAAAAAUUAAUAAUAAUAAAAACAUAAAUAAUAAAAAGAAAGUUGGAGAGAACACACCUGAAUGGGCUGGGAAAGCUUAAAAGAAAAUACCAAAUGAAAAGAAAACAUUAGAAAAGAAAAAUACUAGAAAAGAAAAACAAACAAAGAAAAAAAAACUACUAUUAAAAUAAAACAAGAGUGCAAAGAUGAACUUAAUUAAUCCUGAUAAACAGGAUCAUCUAAAAGUAUCUCCUCAACUUCUGGUGUUCUUAAUUCUAAAAAUGGUUUUAAUCUUUGGCCAUUCACCUUAAAUAAAUCACCAUUUUUAGGAUUUUCAAUCUCAAUUGCUCCAUAAGGGAAGACAGUACGAACUAUAAAAGGACCAGACCAUCGAGAACGUAACUUACCUGGAAAGAGAUGCCAUCGGGAAUUAUAUAAAAGUACUUUCUGACCUGGUGUAAAGACUUUUCUCAAAAUGUGUUUGUCAUGAAAGACUUUCAUUCGCUGUUUAUAAAUCUUGGCAUUCUCAUAUGCAUCAUUCCUGAUCUCUUCAAGUUCUGCUAGUUGUAAUCUUCUCUUGGAACCAGUCUGCUGCAUGUCAAAAUUGAAUUGCUUGAUAGCCCAAUAUGCACGAUGCUCCAACUCUACUGGCAGAUGACAUGCUUUUCCAUACACAAGUCGAUAAGGUGACAUCCCAAUUGGUGUUUUAAAAGCAGUUCUAUAUGCCCACAAUGCAUCAUCAAGUCUCAAAGACCAAUCCUUUCUAUCUGGCCUAACUGUUUUCUCUAGAAUCUGCUUGAUCUCUCUAUUAGAAAUCUCUACUUGGCCACUGGUUUGAGGAUGGUAUGGGGUGACAACCUUAUGUGUAAUGGAAUAUUUGUUCAAAAGAGUUUUGAAAGGUUUAUUGCAAAAAUGGGUACCACCAUCACUAAUGAUUGUUCUAGGGAAACCAGAACGAGACAGAAUAUUACUCUUCAAGAAUUUCACUACAACCCUAUGAUCAUUGGUUUUGCAUGGAGUGGCUUCAACCCACUUCGACACAUAGUCUACUGCAACCAAUAUAUACUGAUAACCACAAGAUGGAGGAAAAGGUCCCAUGAAAUCAAUACCCCAUACAUCGAAGAUCUCAAUCACAAGAAUAGGAUUGAGUGGCAUCAUGUUCCUCUUUGAAAUGCUACCCAUACGUUGGCACCUAUCACACAAAGAACAGAAAAUAUAAGCGUCAUGAAAAAGAGUAGGCCAAUAAAAACCACAUUGUAAAAUUUUUGUUACUGUCUUUUUAGCACUAAAGUGGCCUCCACAAGCUUGUUCAUGGCAAAAUGAGAUAACACUUUGAAUCUCAUUAUCGGGAACACAUCGCCUAAUAAUCUGAUCAGCACAAUAUUUAAAUAAAUAGGGAUCAUCCCCAAANNNNNNNNNNNNNNNNNNNNNNNNNNNNNNNNNNNNNNNNNNNNNNNNNNNNNNNNNNNNNNNNNNNNNNNNNNNNNNNNNNNNNNNNNNNNNNNNNNNNNNNNNNNNNNNNNNNNNNNNNNNNNNNNNNNNNGGGAAAGACUCAAUUCAAAGGUAAAGAUUCUGGAUAAAUUUAAGAUCAAGGCGAGAUAAAUGAUCCGCCACAACAUUUUCAGAACCUUUUUUAUCUCUAAAUUCAAUGUCAAAUUCUUAUAAAAGCAACACCCAACGAAUCAAUCUUGCCUUGGCAUCUUUCUUAGUAAACAAAUAUUUUAAAGCAGCAUGAUCAGUAAAAAUAAUCACUUUACAACCUAUAAGAUAAGAUCUGAAUUUAUCAAGUGCAAAUACCACAGCUAGCAUUUCUUUUUCUGUAGUUGAAUAGUUCAACUGUGCAUCAUUGAAUGUCAUACUAGCAUAAUAAAUCACAUAAGGCACACGAUCUAAUCUUUGUCUUAAAACUGCUCAUGCAGCAUAAUCAGAUGCAUCACACAUAAUUUCAAAAGGCAAAUCCCAAUUAGGUGGCUGAAUGAUAGGUGAAGAAGUCAACAAUUUCUUAAGCUUUGCAAAAGCAUCAAGACAAGAUUCAUCAAAGAUAAAAGGUGCAUCCUUAACAAGUAAAUUGCAUAAAGGUCUAGAAAUUUUACUAAAAUCUUUAAUGAAUCUUCUAUAAAAACCAGCAUGUCCAAGGAAAGAUCUUACUUCUUUUACGGAUUUAGGAUAUGGAAGAUUAGAAAUUAAAUCCACCUUAGCUUUGUCGACUUCUAUACCUUUGCUGGAAAUUAUAUGACCAAGAACAAUACCUUGUUUUACCAUGAAGUGACACUUUUCCCAAUUUAGAACCAAGUUCUUUUCUUUACAUCUCUGCAAAACUAAUGUUAGGUGCUGUAAACAUUCAUCAAAAGAAUCUCCAUAAACAGAAAAAUCAUCCAUGAAUACUUCAAGAAAUCUCUCAACCAUAUCAGAAAAAAUACUAAGCAUGCAUCUUUGAAAGGUAGCAGGUGCAUUGCAUAAACCAAAUGGCAUUCUCCUAUAUGCAAAAGUUCCAAAGGGACAAGUAAAAGUAGUUUUCUCCUGGUCCUCUGGAGCUAUAGGGAUCUGAUUAUAACCUGAAUAUCCAUCUAGAAAAUAAUAAAAAUCAUGACCUGCAAGUCUAUCAAGCAUUUGAUCAAUAAAUGGAAGAGGAAAAUGAUCUUUUCUUGUGAAUGAAUUCAAUUUUCUAUAAUCAAUGCAAACACGCCAACCUGUAGUUACUCUAGUGGGAAUUAAUUCAUUAUUAGCAUUAGUAACUACUGUAACACCAGAUUUCUUAGGAACAACUUGCACAGGGCUAACCCAAGAGCUAUCUGAAAUAGGAUAAAUAAUUCCUGCAUCUAAUAAUUUGAUUACUUCAGCUCUUACCACUUCUUUCAUGUUAGGAUUUAGCCUACGUUGCAUUUCCCUAAUAGGUUUAGCAUUUUCUUCAAGAUGAAUACGAUGCAUGCAAUCUACUGGAUUAAUACCUUUAAUAUCAGCGAUGGUCCAUCCUAUUGCCUCCUUAUGUUUUUUUAGAAUACCUAACAACUUACCUUUUUGCUCAAGAUUGAGGGAAGAAGAAAUAAUAACAGGUAGAGUGUCAUAUUCUCCCAAAAAUGCAUAUUCCAGAGUGUCGGGCAAUGCUUUGAGUUCCAAUUUUGGUGGUGCCUCUACAGAUGGGCCAAUUUUCUUCUCAGAAUGAGGCAGUAGUUCUGACUUUGUCUUCCAUUUAGUUGUGUCCGUAAUUGGAGGUGCAUCAAGUAAAGCACUGACUUCUGCAAUUGCACUGUCAUCAUUAAAAGAUAAAUCAAAAUGAGUUAGACAUGCCUCUAAUGGAUCAUCAGUAUGGUUAGAAAUGAAUGAAUCUUCUACUAAUUCCUCUAUCAUAUUUGCUUCAACAAAUUCAUCUUCUUCUUGUGGCUGCUUGGUAACAUUAAAAAUAUUCAAUUCCAUGGUCAUAUUACCAAAAGAUAGCUGCAUAUUUCCAUUCCUACAAUUAAUAAGAGCAUCAGCUGUAGCUAAGAAAGGACGACCUAGAAUAACUGGAGUGUGUUUCUUAGGAUCAUGUACAUGCUGAGUAUCAAUAACGAUAAAAUCAACAGGAUAAUAAAAUUUGUCAAUCUGUAUCAACACAUCCUCUAUAAUACCACGAGGUAUUUUCAUUGAUCUAUCAGCAAGUUGCAAAAUAAUAGGAGUUGAUUUUAACUCACCUAGUCCAAGUUGCAUGUAAACAGAAUAAGGCAAGAGAUUAACACUAGCACCCAAAUCCAAUAAUGUUUUAUCAAAACAUUGGUUCCCUAUAACACAUGAGAUAGUAGGAGAACCAGGAUCCUUAAAUUUUGGUGGCAUUUUACAUUGAAGUAAAUUGCUAGUUUGUUCAGUUAAAAAUGCCUUUUUAGUGACAUGUAAAUUUCUCUUUUUAGUACAUAAAUCUUUCAAAAACUUGGCAUAGGAAGGAACUUGCUUAAUAGCAUCGAGUAAAGGGAUGUUUAUACUUACCUGCUUAAAGAUUUCCAUAAUCUCACCUGUUGAAGUCCCUUUCUUUGCCUUUGUUAACCUUUGAGGAAAGGAGCCUUGGGAAUGUAAGCUGGCGGGCCACUCUCUUCAGGAUCAUUUGGUGAUGGGUCUUGUGAUGGAACUGGAUCUGAAGAAGUAGGCUCAUAUGUUUUUCUUGUUUGAACCUCCACCUUGUUGUCAAAUAACUUUCCUCUUCUCAAGGUCAUAACAGAUUUUGCUUCUUCAUGCUGAUGGCUUGAACUCGAUCCAACUUCGUGCACUCCUUUGGGAUUAGGAAUUGGUUGAAUUGGAAAUUUUCCUUUUUCUCUCUCAGCUACAGUAGUUGCUAAUUGACCCAAUUGAUGUUCAAGCUUUAGAAUAGCUUGAGUGUUUGACUGAAAAGCUUGUUGGGUUGACUGAAUGAAACUUUGAAGUGUAUCCUCUAAAGAAGGCUUUCUUUGUUGGGGUGCAACAAAUUGAGACAUAGGUUGUUGGGCAGGAGGAUGUAGUUGGUUAGGAGGGACAAAUUGUUGAUUGGACAUGUUCAACUGUUGUCCUCCUUGGUUUGACAAAGGCUGAUUUUGUUUCCAAGAAAAAUUAGGGUGAUUCCUCCAAUUAGGAUUAUAUGUGGGUGAAUAUGGAUUAUUAGGGGUUUUCUCAUAUGAUUGUAAGGCAUGUACCUGCUCAGAAUAAGCCUCUUGAUAGACUGGUAAUGAUGGACAAUUCUGUGCUGUAUGAGACAAGUUAGAACAAAUAGCACAAACCUCAUUAUCUACACUAGGAUGAUGAUUCAUUGAUUGGUUUAGAGCUAAGGCAUCUACUUUCCUAGAAAGUGUAACUAUAGUGGAUUUCACAUCAAAAUCAUCCUUAACUUCAUAUAACCCCUUUCUAGAAACUUGAGAUGAUUUUUCUCUUUGAUUUGAAAAAUCCCACUGUUGAGAAUUCUCAAAAAGUGAAUUAAAGAAAUCCCAUGCAGCCCUUUCAUGUAAGUUCAAAAAUCUCCCACCAUUCAUAGACUCUACCAUAUGACGAUUUGACAUGGUUAAACCGUUAUAAAAGCAUUAUAUAAGUCUCCAUUUUUCAAAACCAUGGUGGGGACACUUAAGGAGUAAAUCAUUGAAUCUUUCCCAACACUCGUAAAAUUGCUCACCCUCUCUUUGAUAAAAAUCACUUAUCUCUCUCCUAAGGGCAUUUGUUUUAGACAUAGGGAAAAACUUGGUGAGAAACUUAUUACUCAAUUCAUCCCAUGUACUAAUAGAUCCAUCAGGAAGUGAAUUCAACCAAGCUUUUGCUUUGUCUUUUAAUGAGAAAGGGAACAUACGAAGCUUAAUUGACUCAUCAUUAAAAUUUUGAAAACGGAAUGUAGAGCAUAUGUCAAGAAAUUCCUUAAUGUGCAAAUAUGGAUCCUCUCUUUCUAACCCAUGGAAAGAUGGCAAAAGUUGAAUGACAGAGGGCUUAAGUUCAAAGUGUGUUGCUGUAGUUUGUGGCAACACAAUACAAGAUGGUUGGUUGGCUGCAAGUGGUGAAAAGUAUUCGCUAAGGGUUUUCUCUGCUUACACUGGUGGAAGUAUUGGCAAUAAUCUAUUUGGGUCAUCCAUCACUUCUAAAGAACUAGCUUGACUACUAUCAAUUUUUGACUCUCUUUUAACCAAACGAUUUGUUGAAUCACGUUCCCAAACACUCAUAAACUAACCAGACAAGGAAAGAAAAUAAAAUAAAAUAAACCAACAAUAAUGAGAAUAAACGAAAUUAAACAACUAAAGAAUGAAUUCAAAAUAAAAUAAAAAAAAAAUAAAAAUCGAAUAAAUAAAAUAAAAGACAACCUAAAUUAUAACUAGUGGAAAAAUCAAAUUAACCUAGAUUAAACUUGACUUUCUAGCACAAUCCCCGGCAACGGCGCCAAAAACUUGUUGUGAAAAUUUUAAUAUACUCGCAAGCGCACGAAUCUAGAAAUAGAAUAGUGGUAACGAGGUCGAUCCCACAGGGAUUGUUAUAAAUUAAAAAGUUUAAUUUAAAUCUAAAAUUAAUAUUAAUUAUAACCUAGUUGAGCAAAUUGAGUUUUUAAGAAAAUUAAACCAAUUAAACUAAGGAAACAAUUAAAAUAAAGGAGAAUUCAAUAAGAUAAGAAUUACCAAGGUUUCAGAAUCCACCACUAUUCAACUAGUAAUUAUCUAAUUAUUAAUUAAUCCCCAAUUUUAGAGUGACAACUCGAAAUCAAUCUAUGUCAUCUCAUGGAUAUAACAAUUAAGCCCAAGUAAUUAAAUCUAAUGUAGGUUCUUUUUCUGCUUAAUAAUAUGACAUCUAAGAAUCUCAUGUAAACAUAUUGAAUAACAAAGAGUCAAAGUUUCCUAAGCACUCCAUGUAAACAAUUUAAUGAAAGACAUAAAAUCAAAGAUAAUCAUGUAUAAACUUUAUAGAUCCAAGCAUAGAAUUAAUCGAAUAUUAAUCCUAACAAUCAAUAAUGCAUGACAGAAUUGAUGAAAAGAUUUUAUUAACAUCCAAUUAAUCAUGUGAAAUAAAAACAAUAAUCAUCAAAGAACAUAUAUAGGGAAUUAAUUAAAUAAAAAGAUAAUUAUUUCAUUGAAUAGGGUUUCAUCCUUAACCUCAGUAUAAGAAAAUUAGUUAGACAUACUUGAAUUGGGAGCAACAAAAUAAAUAAAUUCAGCCAUGGGGAAGCCGAAUUGCUGCAGAUUUUCUUCUCUGUCUUGAAUCCUUGCGUCUCCAGUUCUCUCUCCUCCCGUGGCCCUCUUGCCUUUAUAUAAUGUUACUGACUUGCUUAAUCCUUAUUGGAUUCUAAUUGCAUUAAUUCUUCUCCACCGACUUAUAAAGCCCACUCACCAAGGCCUUUUAAAAUUAUUUCCUUACUAAACUUUGAAAGCAAAGCACGCGUUUGACCACAAAAGCAAAAGGCCAAUUAAUGAUUUCUUCUUUUAAUGCCCAGCACAUGCAUUCCAAAUUGCCAAAUCUUUGCUUUCCAAAUGCAUGCCCACCGUUCAUCCUUUGAAGAGAUUGACUUCCAAUUUUGGUCUUCUUGACUUCCAUUAAUUCUUGGUUACAUUUUUGUCUUCCAAUUUAAUCUUUAUUCCUUCUCAAUUUGAAGUGUUUUCAUGCCCUUUUUAUCAACAAUCUUCAAUUAAUUCCCCAUUCAAUAAAACAAUUCAAUUAAUUAAAAAUAAUAAAUAAAUAUAACUAGCAAUUAUAUUAUUAAGGGUUAAAUAUAUAUAUAAAUUAUGCUCAUCAAGUAUCACAUAAAAGGUUUUGUAAAGGCUGUGUCAAAAGAAUUUCUUUAACUGAUUAAAUAUACUAAUUUUAGGUGACAAUAAUAUAAUAAUAUUAAACUAAAUUAACUUAAUUUUGAGAAAAAAAUUUCAAAAAACGCAUAGAAUUACGGAUCAAGUCUAAUUAACAAUCAAACGUAGUAACCCAGAUGCAUUUAUGCCAAAAAGAAUGUUCAUAAGACUACACAAAACCACCCAAAAAAUAUUAUAAAAUAAUAAAAGCAACAACUGCGAUAGAUUUUGCCAGAACAAGAAACACAACAAAACAAAGAGAAUAAAUCAAUCAAGGGCAUAAAUAGAUUGAACAAAAAAGGGCAAGAUCAGAAAAGAAACCGACCCACGACGCUGGAUCCUCCUAAUCCUAGCGUCAUGGUUGCGGUUUUGAUGAUGCGUUAGCUGAGAUCUGAGUAAAAUAUUGACAGUGAGCUUGUGGGUGAGUGAAAGGGGAACGAGCUUCGUGGCUGAGAGUGAGAGCCGAGAGGGAUAGAGCGGGUGAGAGAGAGAGAGGGGGUGAGUGAGGAGAGGGAUAAAAAUUUAGAUUUUUUAAUUUGUUUUGAUUAGUUUUUAUUAUUUU